rnacentral:lncRNA from 1 species
GGGUAACACAUGUGAAUGAAAUGCCACUGCUGUGCAGAGGAAAUGCCCUGAAACCGUGUGAUGGUGCCAUUUUCCAGACAAUCAACAAUUCAAAAAGACAGUAGGAGAUGCAUGAGGUGAACCACUUCUGUCUUCCUGGGCAGGUGUCAGAGGUCUGUGUAAGAGGAAGGCUUGGCAGAAUCUCUUGUGGAAAUUUACACGACAUCUUCCCACACAAUGGCUGGACAGUGCUGUUCUUCCUUCAGUUGUCAGGUGCAUUGGAAUGUGUAUAGAAGAAAACCCAAAGAAAAUAGGAGAUCCAAGAUUCUAGUGCAUGAAUAAAAUGCAGUUAUUGUUGGAAAUACA